UCUGAUUGGCUGCUACCUGAUGAAGCACUUCCGGUUUACUGCAGCCGAGGCGAUUGUUUGGAUCAGAAUCUGCAGACCUGGAUCUAUCAUCGGUCCACAGAAAAACUUCUUAGAAGAGAAGCAGCACAGUUUGUGGGUUCAGGGUGACGUGCAUCGGUCUAAACAGAAGCUGGUCCAACAGAGACUGAGUCAGCAACAGCAGCUUCACCGCUCUGACUCUGUGCAGGGAGGGAACAGGAGGCAGUGUCCUCGCUGCUUUCCAGCAUGGAUGACCUGUCAAUCAACACCGUGCUCUGCAAGUCAUAUAGCUUGGAUGACGUCAGCGGUGUGACUUCAUAGCAUCAACAUGACCUUUUUUAAUGGUUACUGCAGAAUUCAAACAGGCUACUGAGUUAUGAUCACAAUGUUGUGUUUUCAUGCUGCUAAUUGUGUCUUUCUUUCUGUGUCUGUGCAGAAUAACUGCAAAGAAGUCAGUCUGACACAGGGAGACAAACUGAGAGCACUGUAGGGAAACACCCACCGAGAUCAGCGUCAUCCUGCUCAAGGUUAAACCUGUCCAAGACUUCACACUGCUCCAUCCUCCCUCCCCCGAAGCCCUCCAAAGUCCACCUUUCUCUCACCCCCUCUUCUACUAAAAAGCUGAGACAAAGUUCCUCUACCACCACUGCUCCGCAGAUCAGGAGUCCCUUCAGCCUCACUUUGUUUAGCACUAGGCCAGCACUGAUUCACUGACUUCACACUUGGGACGUUCUGGUUAUGAAUCAGCCCAGCUGAUGAUGGACUCGCUGGAAACUGGAUCAGCCCUCUUGCACGUUUAAUAGGCUGUAAAUCCUUUUUUAGCCCCAAUAACUACUUUUCGUUUUGAUAGACAGAGCCAACAGUUUGUCACCACUUUAACUGGUCACGUGGCCCAUUCUGU